rnacentral:rRNA from 1 species
UACGUAGGGGGCAAGCGUUGUCCGGAUUUACUGGGCGUAAAGAGCGUGUAGGCGGCCAGGCAGGUCUGUUGUGAAAGCUGGAGGCUCAACUUCCAGACGUCGACAGAAACCGCUUGGCUAGAGUCCGGAAGAGGAGAGUGGAAUUCCUGGUGUAGCGGUGAAAUGCGCAGAUAUCAGGAAGAACACCGAUGGCGAAGGCAGCUCUCUGGGACGGUACUGACGCUGAGACGCGAAAGCGUGGGGAGCGAACAGG